rnacentral:lncRNA from 1 species
GUUCUAGACACUGGGGUCAAAGGCAGUGAAUAAAACAAAUUUGCAUUAAAUAGUUCAAGUUCUAGGGGAAGGAAGCAGACUGCUAACAAACACAUAAACGCAGACUACAUUAAGAAGUGAUAAGCACAGUGGAGAAAAAAGUCAGCAGAGUAGAGAUGAUAGCAUUGCUUGAUACUAUUAAUAGUUUAUAUAGAUUGCCUGGGAAGUACUUUCUGAGGAGGCUGGGGAGAAGUGAGGAGCUGGCCCUGUGGAUACCAUGGUGGAAAAGUGUCCAGGUAGGAGGAAGAGCAAGGCGUGAGGCCCUGAGGUGGGAACACGUUGGCACAUUGUAGAGCAGCCAGAAGGCAGGCAUGGCUGUAGCAGCAGCAGAAUAGGGAGGUUGGCAGGAGAGGAAGCCAAGGAGAAGUGAGUAGUCCAGUUCAUGGGGAACUUGUAGGGCAUGGAAUUCAUGUUGGGUUUUACCCCAGGUGAGAUGGGAGUCGUUGGAGGGCUUUGGGCAAAGCAGUGGCCACAGUGUGAUUCAGCAGGUUAAAAAAGAUCCUGCUGACUCCCACAUGAACAACAGUCUGAAGGGCAGCAAGGAUGGAAACAGGGAGACCAAUUGUUAAGAGGCUACUGCAACCAUUGAGGCAAGAAAGGAGCAUGGCUGCCUGAAGUGAUGAGAAGUGUCAGAUUCUGGAUCUAUUCCUCAGGAAAAGGCUUCAGGAUCUGCUGAUGGUUUGAAGUUGGGGUGUGAGCAGGAAGAGCCCCUGAUGACUCCAGGGCUAAGUAACUGGAAGAAUGAAGUUGCUAUGUCCAGAGAUGAAAAAAUCUCAGAGAGGAGCAGGUUAAUGAUAAUCAAGAUGUUUCUUUUUUCUUCUUUUUCUUCUUUUUAAUAGAGAUGGAGUCUCGCUCUGUUGCCUAGGCUGGAGUGCAGUGGUGCGAUCUCGGCUCACUGCCAACCUCCGCCUCCCAAGUUCAAGCGAUUCUCUUGCGUCAGCCUCCCGAGCAGCUGGGACUACAGGCACGUCACCACGUCCAGCUAUUUUUUUUUUUUUUCAGUAGAGAUGGGGUUUCGCCAUGUUGGCCAGGCUGUUCUCAAACUCGUGACCUCAGGUGGUCUGCUUGCUCCAGCCUCCCAAAGUGCUGGGUUACACCACACCCAGCCAGGAUGUUUCUCUUAAAUAUGUUACAUUUGAGGUGCAUACUGGAGCUCCCAUGGAGAGGGCAGGGAAGGUGGAAAGAGGCAAGUUGAAGAGAUUCUUUUGCCAUUCUUCAGAUUACAUGUUAUUUAAAGUCAUAGACCUCAGUCAAAAUCCCCAAGGGAUUAAAUGGAGGUAGAGAAGAGGACCAGUCCUUGGAGUGCUACAAUGCAUGGAGUUAGUAAGAGGAAGAGGACCCGGCAAGAAAGCUAUGAAGGAGGGGCUUGCUAAGUUAACCCUUGAACAACACGGAUCUGAACUGCAUGGGUCUGCUUCUGCCUCUGCCACUCCUGAGACAGCAAGACCAAGACCAACCAUUCUUCGUCCUCUUCCUCCUCAGCCUGCUCAAUGUGAAGAUGACAAGGAUGAAGUUCUUUACGAUGAUUUACUUCCACUUAAUAGGGAGAAAUGGCACAUUAACAAAAUUCCAAUAAUGAAUAUGAUGGUGACAAAGCAGAGAGAAAGCACAAACAAUAGGAGGAAAUGUUGAAAGAUUCCCUUUCAUCUCCUAACGGCAGUCUGAGGCUGGACAUGUCUACUCCUGGGAAUAGAAUCCAAGGGCAAAAGUCCCUCACGAUAAGGAGGCCACAUUUUGAGCUGAAACGUAUGAACACCACAGCUUCAGGGCCAGGCAAAGUUGGGUUUGUGUCCCAGCAGUACAACUCUCCAGACUUUGAGCCUCACUCUCCUCUUCUAUACAAUGGAGCCAAUGACACCUCUUUCCUGUGUAUUAGAAACACCACCUAAGAAGAUGUAGAUAAAGUGACUGCAAGGGGCAAAGAGCCAGACCUGGUGUUUGACUUCUCCCUAGCCUCCCAAGUGCAGAGAUGAUUCCUACCGGAUACUGGUCCUUGGAGGAAAUGGGAGAGAAAUUCAGCUUUGGCUUUAGCAAUUCAACUGAUAAAGGAGGCAGGGAAAAAGCUAAGUGAGACAGAGAGACUACAAAGCCCUCUUCCUGGAUCCUGGCAGAUGCCAAAGGAAGAAUCUGCGAGUGAGUAAUUCUGCAGCCUGGAGCCCAAAGGCUGCAGCCAGAGGUCUGUGCCAAGAAGGCAGCGGGUGCAGGAGAGGUGGGCGGCUCCUGGGCUGGCCUUAACCGGAUGGGGGACAGCUCAGUGUGAGUCAGAGGCUGAGCCUCUGCUCCAAGGGCCUCCUGCAGGCCACAUCCAUUCAGAUAGGCCUCCCACGAAGGAAGCUUUCCCCUGCAUAGACUCAGGUGGCCUUUAUUGUGAUAGUGUGUCAUCAGUAGGCAUUGCAUGCAGAUGAUAGAAAAUUCCUGCGGUCCAAGCACAAGUCUGCACAAAAACAGAACAGAUAGUCAAGGACGCAGGUAUCAGGUCUGUGCCCAGGUUGUGGGCUGCCGAACUCCCAUGCUGAAAAUGACAACAGCUAUCAUUUAUUGAGAGCUCACCUGGUCCCAUCACUGUGCAAAGUGCAAGCCAGCUCCAAAGCCCUUAUGUGCAACUACUAAACAUUUUGGUCUCCAGAGUGUACAGUAGAGCUAGGAGAAUAUUAGGUAAGCCAGUUCUCUAACUACCUCAGUUUCCCCAUUGCAAAAUGGGGAUGAUAUUUGCCUACAUUAUGGGUUACUUUGAGAACUGCAGCACAGCAAUUCAAAAUCCAGGCUUUUGAGUCAAAAAGAUCUGGGUUCGAGUCCCAGCUCUGCCUCUGAUUUGCUGUGUGAGCUUGAGCAAAUGUCUUAUCCUCUGUGAGCUUCAAUUUCCUCAUGUUUUGUGGAUCGUAAGAGAACCAACCUCAAGGGUUAUGACAAAAAUUAAAUGAGAUAACAUAUGAACCUGCUUCCUCAUCUGUAAACCAGAGAAAAUAAUACACAUUUUUCUCAUUGUUGUGAAGAGUAAAUAACAUUUUAAGAUGGUUUAUUAAUAUAUUUCAUAUUCAGUAGGUUCAUGGUUAUUAUUAUCAUUAUUACCAUUUCCAUCAAAUAAGCCAUUAUAUAAAAAGUUAUUGAUAAAUUUUAAGAGGCUGUUUUUGAUCAAAAAUAUAUUGUUUACUAUAUUUAAACAAGGCUCUAAAUGUGGUAAUUAGUAUUUUUAUUAUAACUGCCAUUUUCCUCAUAUACUACAAUCUCAGUAUGGGGCAAGGGAGCAAAAAACUCACUUGAUCUCUCUGAGUUCCUUUUCAGGAGAAAUUUAGGUUACAUUAGGAUUUUCAACCUCAGACCUGUGGACCCAAAAGGGUCUGGGAAAGUAGUAAAGGCAGUGAGAGAAGGGUACCUAGAGGUAUUUUCAAUAUUCCAAAAGGUAUGGGAAAUCAUAUACUUGUCAAUAAUGUGACCUCCACAGACUAUCUUGAAGACCAAGUUUCUUUUGCUUCAGGUUGAAAUUGUAGUGGCUUGGCAUGGCACUACUAGUUAACUGCUGUUCCCCCGACCUUCUAUCUGGCUGAAGUGUGGGCAAUAGACAAGCUCUGUUAAUACCGUGGGACUCUGGAGCCAGAGUCCCUGGCUCCCCACUUAUCAGCUGUAUAAACUUAGGCAGGAUUUAUAACCUUUCUGUGCCUCAGUCUCUUCAUCUGACAAUACUGGAUAACAAUAUUGCUUCCCCAUGGAGCUAUCAUAAAGAACCAUAUAAGUAAAGCAGUUAGGAUAGUGCCUGGUCCACAGUAAUCACUCCAUAUGAUGAACUCAGUUGUCAUUGUCAUUGCUAUCAGAUUUCAAGAAACACCUUCCC